rnacentral:rRNA from 1 species
UACAGAGGUGGCAAGCGUUGUUCGGAAUUACUGGGCGUAAAGGGCGCGUAGGCGGCCUUCUAAGUCAGACGUGAAAUCCCUCGGCUCAACCGGGGAACUGCGUCUGAUACUGGUUGGCUUGAGUGCAGGAGAGGAACGCGGAAUUCCAGGUGUAGCGGUGAAAUGCGUAGAUAUCUGGAGGAACACCGGUGGCGAAGGCGGCGUUCUGGACUGCAACUGACGCUGAGGCGCGAAAGCGUGGGGAGCAAACAGG